AAUCACUCUGUGAGGAUACAUUUUCAGUAUCUAUUGGUUCUGGGAUUAAAUUCUGUGCCUGUAUUUUUCUUGUAUUAACACACAUUUGCUUAACUUCAUUUCUAAGCUGGCAAAAAAGAUUGUUUAUUAAUUCAACUCUAUCCUCUAGUUCACAGACUGUUUCUGACUAUUUACAGCAUGUGCUCUCUGUUACUUUGUUACACUGUUCAUUUAAAUCUGAUUUGUCUUCUGUUAACCCAUACAAAUCUACUUCUUUAUCUGCUGAUUCUAAAUUUUCUUGACCUGCAUCUUGUUUAC